rnacentral:rRNA from 1 species
AUACGUAGGUGGCGAGCGUUGUCCGGAAUUACUGGGUGUAAAGGGCGUGUAGGCGGGAAUGUAAGUCAGAUGUGAAAUACCGUGGCUUAACCACGGGGCUGCAUCUGAAACUAUGUUUCUUGAGUGUCGGAGAGGAAAGUGGAAUUCCCAGUGUAGCGGUGAAAUGCGUAGAUAUUGGGAGGAACACCAGUGGCGAAGGCGGCUUACUGGUCCAUUACUGACGCUGAGGUGCGAAAGCGUGGGGAGC